UACACCUGUAACCAUGCCGAACACAGAAGUUAAGCUUCUUAGCGCCGAUUGUAGUGAAGGGUUUCCCUUUGUGAGAGUAGGACGUCGCCACGC
rnacentral:rRNA from 2 species